AUGUCUGUAAAGCACAGUUUCACUUUCCAAAGCAGAGGGAGCAAACAUGCACUGAAAAGUCCACCAGCAGCUUGGUAACUCUGAGUGUGUUCAGCUCAUGAUAGAUGUAGGAGCUCUGAUGGAGGCCCAUGACUGCCACUUUGUCCCAAAUAUAUUGACAUAGUAAAAUAAAUGUGUGUAAAAAAAUAAAUAAAGGAUAUUUCAUGUUGAAUUCCAUUAAUACUGUAUAUGUAUGUGGCCAAAUGCAAGACUAUUAAGUUUAUAAGUGUGAAAUUGUCUUCUUUUGCAUGGUCUCUGCAUGAUUGUACUGUUGAAAAUGUGGGUGUUACAGGUGUCAAGUACACCCCUUCAAUGAAUAUCUGCAGGUUAUCAUAUUCAAUCAUGUUAAUACUUUUUACCCUUCAAUUUUUUGCUUUACUAAAGUUACAUUUGAUAUAUGUUGGAAAAGAAAAAGUGCCAUAUUCAGUACUUUUUGAGGAUGAGAAAUUCAAAACUAUGACAAACUGUCACAUGAAACGCUCUGUUUGAGAAGAAUGAGAAAGGAACGUCUUGUCUGAUGGUAUGGAUGUGGCCAUGGAAGUAGGGUCUUACCAUGGUUAGAACAGUUGCACAUGUAAGCAUGGUUUAAAGGUCACUGUCAGCGUCCGAGCAUACUUACACACACAGACCAGAGUACUUCCUCUUUCUUCACAUUAGAUGACUUCUGUUCCCUCUCCACCAGUGACAGCUGUGACGCAUGCACAAACACAGAAAAUGUGCGAUUGUUUAUACUGAUCUAAAACGAUGCAUGGGUAUAUCUUUUGUUUGUGUCUAUUAUAUUCAGAAGCUGAGCUAAGGUGUCAAAGAAAUUGGACUUUGCUUGGGAAUUAAACUCAUACAAUGUGUGACUGUCGCUAUCAAUUGAUCUAUUAAUUUUCGGUAAAAGAGAAUAUGUGUAAUAAAAUUGAGUGUUCAUAUACAUUUUCAUAAUAAAACAUUUGGUAGUGGAAUUGGGGAAAUCGGGUCUAGACUUUAAUAUCCAUUAUUAUUUUUAUCAUUAUCAUUAAAUAGCCUACCUAAAAUAUGUAAUGAGUCUUAUUAAACUAUGUAGAAUUGCAGGAUAUUAGCUGAAAAACAACAAUUUUCUUAGGUACAGUAGCAGUCAAAAGUUUGGGCACACCUACUCAUUCAAUUUUUUUUUUUUUUUUUUACUAUUUUCAACAUUGUAGAAUAGUACUAAAGACAUCAAAACUAUGAAAUAACACACAUGGGAAUCAGGUAUUAACCAAAAAAACACAUCAAAAUACAUUUGAGAUUCUUCAAAGUAGGCACCCUUUGCUUUGAUGACAGCUUUGCACACUCUUCGCAUUCUCUCAACCAGAUUCACCUGGAAUGCUUUUCCAACAGUCUUAGAGGAGUUCCCACAUAUGCUGAGCACUUGUUGGCUGCUUUUCCUUCACUCUGCGGUCCAACUCAUCCCAAACCAUCACAAUUGGGUUGAGGUCGGGUGAUUAUGCAGGCCAGGUCAUCUGAUGCAGCACUUCAUCACUCUCCUUAUUGGUCAACUAGCCCUUACACAGCCUGGAUGUGUGUUGAGUCAUUGUCCCGUUGAAAAACAAAUCAUAGUCCCAACAAUAACGCAAACCAGAUGGGAUGGCAUAUCACUGCAGAAUUCUGUGGUAGCCAUGUUGGUUAAGUGUGCCUUGAAUUUGAAAUAAAUCACUGACAGUGUCACCAGCAAAGCACCAUCACACCUCCUCCUUGCUGGGUGGGAACCACACACGUGGAGAUCAUCCGUUCACCUACUCUGCAUCUAACAAAGACACAGCGGUAGUAACCAAACAUCUCACAUUUGGACUCAUCAGACCAAAGGACAGAUUUCCACCAGUCUAAUGUCCAUUGCUCGUGUUUCUUGGCCCAAGCAAGUCUCUUCUUAUUAUUGGUGUCCUUUAGUAGUGGUUUCUUUGCAGCAAUUUGACCAUGAAUCUGUGAUUCACGCAGUCUCCUCUGAACAGUUGAUGUUGAGAUGUGUCUGUUACUUGACCGCUGUGAAGCAUUUAUUUGGGCUGCAAUUUCUGAGGCUGAUUGGUUGGAAUUGAGAGAGGCAAUUGACAGGUCUGAAGGCUAGUCAGGUUCUGUGUAUUCAAAUGAUUUAUUUUAAAAACGUACAUAAUUCCAUAGUUCCUUUUUUGUCAGGGACCAUGUAUAUGGAACAAAAAUAUAAACGUAACAUGCAAAGUGUUGGUCCCACGUUUCAUGAGCUGUAAUAAAAGAUUCCAGACAUUUUUAAUACGCACAAAAAGCUUAUUUCUCUCAAAGUUUGUGCACAAAUUUGUUUACAUCCCUGUUAGUGAGCAUGUCUCCAAGAUGAUAUGCCACACCUGUCAGGUGGAUGGAUUAAGAAGCUGAUUAAACACUUUGAUCAUUACACAGGUGCACCUUGUGCUGGAGACAAUAAAAUGCCACUCUAAAAUAUGUAGUUUUGUCACACAACUCAAUGCCACAGAUGUCUCAAGUUUUGAAGGAGUGUGCAUUUGGUAUGCUGACUGAAGGAAUGUCCACCAGAGCUGUUGCCAGAUAAUUUUAUGUUAAUUUCUCUACCAUAAGCCGCCUCCAAUGUCGUUUUAGAGAAUUUGGCAGUACAUCCAACCGGCCUCAAAACCACAAACCACAUUUAACCACGUCAGCCCAGGACCUCCACAUCCAGCUUCUUCACCUGUGGGUUUGCACAACCGAAGAAUUUCUGCACAAACUGUCAGAGACCGUCUCAAGGAAGAUCGUCUGCGUGCUCGUCGUCCUUACCAGGGUCUUGGCCUGACUUCCAUGUGUUAUUUCAUAGUUUUGAUGUUUUCAUUAUUAUUCUACAAUGUAGAAAAUAGUAAAAAUAAUGAAAAAACCUGGAAUAAGUAGGUGUGUCCAAACUUUGGACUGGUACUGUACGUCGAGUUAAACAAAAUAAUACAAUUAAUAAAAGCAUUACAUUUUUCAAAUGUGAAAAAGGUGGUCAAGAUGUGUUGGUAUCUGUACUGAUGGCGCAAAAACCAUGACAGGGAGACAUAGUGGAGUGGUAACUCGCAGUGCAAGAAGUUGCUCCCGACGCCACUUGAGUACACUGCAGCAUCCACCGAGAGGCUCUUGCUGCCAAAGAAUGCCUGACAGCUUGAAAGACGUUUUGGACACAACAGUGAAAAUGGUUAACUUUGUUAAAGCAAGGCCCCUGAACUCUCGUGUAUUUUCUGCAUGAUGACGAGUUUCUCACAUGAUUGGCCUAUCUGGGUGAUGUUUUUUCUCACCUGAAUGAUCAGAAUCUAGGAUUACAGGGACUCUCCACAACUAUAUUCAAUGUGCAGGACAAAAUUGAGGCUAUGAUUAAGAAGUUGGAGCUCUUUUCUGUCUGCAUUAACAAGGACAACAACACACAGGUCUUUCUAUCAUUGUAUUAUUUUUUUGUGUGCAAAUGAACUCAAGCUUACGGACAAUGUCAAAUGUGAUAUAGCGAAGCACCUGAAGUGAGCUGGGUGCACAAGCAGGUACUUUCCCAAAACGGAUGACAAACAACUGGAUUCGUUAUUCCUUUCAUUCUCUGCGUAAUUCAUGUCAAUUUACCGAUAUCUGAACAUGAGAGCAUUAUCGAAAUUGCAACAAGCGGUUCUGUGAAAAUUUAAUUUAAUCAGCAGCCACUGCCAGAUUUCUGGAUUGGGCUGCGCUCAGAGUUUCUUGCCUUGGCAAAUUGCGUUGUUAAGACACUGAUGCCCUUUGCAACCACGUACCUAUGUGAGAGUGGAUUCUCGGCCCUGACUAGCAUGAAAAUUAAAUACAGGCACAGACUGUGGAAAAUUAUUUAAGACUGAGACGCUCUCAAAAAACGACAUUUGAGAGUGCGCUGACCCUGGUGCUAGAGGGGGUACGCAGCUGGAGGUUGAAUGUUUGAAGGAGUACGGAACUAUAAAAAGUUUGGGAACCACUGCUCUACAAUAAGCCACCUCCAAUGUCAUUUUAGAGAAUUUCGUAAUACAUCCAACUGGCCUCACAACCGCAGACUGCUGGUUUCAACAUUGUGAACAGAGUGCCCCCAUGGUGGCGGAGGGGUUAUGGUAUGGGCAGGCAUAAACUAUAGGCAACGAACACAUUUCCGUUUUAUCGAUGGGAUUUUGAAUGCACAGAAAUAACGUGACGAGAUCCGGAGACCCAUUGUGAGUGUAACGGAUGUGAAAUGGCUAGCUAGUUAGCGGUGUUCGCGCUAAAUAGCGUUUCAAUCGGUGACGUCACUUGCCCUGAGGCCUUGAAGUAGUAGUUCCCCUUGCUCUGCAAGGGCCGCUGCUUUUGUGGAGCGAUUGGGUAACGAUGCUUCGAGGGUGACUAUUGAUGUGUGCAGAGGGUCCCUGGUUCGCGCCCGGGUAUGGGCGAGGGGACGGUCUAAAGUUAUACUGUUACAUGAGGGCCAUUUUUUUAAAAGGUAUCUGUGACCAAUAGAUGUGUAACGCAUGUGAAACGGCUAGCUUAGUUAGCGGUGCGCGCUAAAAAGCGUUUCAAUCGGUGACGUCACUUGCUCUGAGACCUUGAAGUAGUAGUUCCCCUUGCUCUGCAAGAGCCGCAGCUUUUGUGGAGCGAUGGGUAACGAUGCUUCGUGGGUGACUGUUGUUGAUGUGUGCUGAGGGUCCCUGGUUCGCGCCCGGGUAAGGGCGAGGGGACGGUCUAAAGUUAUACUGUUACAGAUGCAUAUCUGUAUUCCCAGUCAUGUGAUAGAUUAGGGCCUCAUUCUUUAAAUUGACUGAUUUCCUCAUAUGAACUGUAACUCAGUAAAAUCGUUGAAAUUGUUGCAUGUUGCGUUUGUAUUUGUGAUAUGUUACGUUUGGUAUGGUUACUUUAAGACAGAUGGUUACUUGUAGGGUGGUUGAUUGAGCCUAUAACGCACACUUCUAGCAACCAAUGGUUUUCAAGUUCGAAUCUCAUGGACAACUUUAGCAUUUUAGCAACUUUUCAUCUACUUACUACUUUUUUAGCUACUUUGCAACUACUUAGCUAACAUACUAACCCUUCCCCAAAUCCUUUUAGCUAAUCCUUCCCCUAAUCUUAACUCUUUUAGCUAACUCUGCCCUUAAUCCUUUAACCUAACUCCUAAACUUAACCCUAACCUUAACCCCUAGCCUAGCAAACAUUAGCCAGCUAGCUAACGUUAGCCACCUAACUAGAAUUUGUAACAUAUCAUACGUUUUGCAAAUUCGUAACAUAAUGUACGUCUUGCAAAUUCGUAGCAUAUAAUACGAAUUGUAAUUUGUUACGUAUCAUCCACAAAUGAAUACAUACCAUACAAAAUGUCUCACAUACAGAUACAGUUGAAGUCAGAAGUUUACAUACACUUAUGUUUGAGUCAUUAAAACUCGCUUUUCAACAACUCCACAAAUUUCUUGUUAACAAACUAUAGUUUUGGCAAGUCGGUUAGGGCAUCUACUUUGUGCAUGACACAAGUAAUUUUUCCAACAAUUGUUUACAGACAGAUUAUUUCACUUAUAAUUCACUGUAUCACAAUUCCAGUGGGUCAGAAGAUUACAUACACUAAGUUGACUGUGACUUUAAACAGCUUGGAAAAUUCCAGAAAAUGAUGUCAUGGCUUUAGAAGCGUCUGAUAGGCUAAUUCACAUCAUUUGAGUCAAUUGGAGGUGUACCUGUGGAUGUAUUUCAAGGCUUACCUUCAAACACAGUGCCUCUUUGCUUGACAUCAUGGGAAAAUCAAAAGAAAUCAGCCGCCAAGACCUCAGAAAAACAAUUGUAGACCUCCACAAGUCUGGUUCAAUUUCCAAAUGCCUGAAGGUACCACGUUCAUCUGUACAAACAAUAGUGCGCAAGUAUAAACACCAUGGGAUCACGCAGCCGUCAAACCGCUCAGGAAGGAGAUGCGUUCUGUCUCCUAGUGAUGAACGUACUUUGGUGCGAAAAGUGCAAAUCAAUCCCAGAACAACAGCCAAAGGACCUUGUGAAGAUGCUGGAGGAAACAGGUACAAAAUUAUCUAUAUCCACAGUACAACGAGUCCCAUAUCGACAGCACCUGAAAGGCCGCUCAGCAAGGAAGAAGCCACUGCUCCAAAACCUUCAUAAAGAAAACCAGACUACAGUUUGCAACUGCACAUGGGGACAAAGAUCGUUAUUUUUGGAGAAAAGUCCUCUGGUCUGAUGAAACAAAAAAUUGAACUGUUUGGCCAUAAUGACCAUUGUUAUGUUGCAAGACGAAGAACACCAUCCCAACCGUGAAGCACGGGGGUGGCAGCAUCAUGUUGUGGGGGUGCUUUGCUGCAGGAAGGACUGGUGCACUUCACAAAAUAGAUGGCUUCACGAGGAAGGAAAAUUACGUGGAAAUAUUGAAGCAACAUCCCAAGACAUCAGUCAGGAAGUUAAAGCUUGGUCGCAAAUGGGUCUUCCAAAUGGACAAUGACCCCAAGCAUACUUCCAAAGUUGUGGCAAAAUGGCAUAAGGACAACAAAGUCAAAGUAUUGGAGUGGCCAUCACACAGCCCUGACCUCAAUCCUAUAGAAAAUGUGUAGGUAGAACUGAAAAAGCAUGUGCGAGCAAGGAGGCCUACAAACCCAACUCAGUUAUACCAGCUCUGUCAGGAGGAAUGGGCCCAAAUUCACCCAACUUAUUGUGAGAAGCUUGUGGAAGGCUACCUGAAAUGUUUAAGUUAAACAAUUAAAGGCAAUGCUACCAAAUACUAAUUAAGUGUAUGUAAACUUCUGACCCACUGGGAAUGUGAUGAAAGAAAUACAACUGAAAUAAAUAAUUCUCUCUACUAUUAUUCUGACAUUUCACAUUAUUACAAUAAAGUGGUGACCUAACUGACCUAAGACAGUGUAUUUUUAAAUAGGAUUAAAUGUCAGGAAUGUGAAAAACUGAGCAUAAAUGUAUUUGGCUAAGGUGUUUUUUAAACUUCCGACUUCAAUUAUAUCUAGUUUGAUCUGUGAAGAUGGUCACUCAGUCGAGCAGCGUAAGAAAGAAAGGAAAUGCACAAGGAGACGAUCACCUUUCUAUAGAAAGAGGGAACUAUUAUGGAUGCUCAUAGGAACCUUGCUGCCUGCCUCUUAACCAAACCAAAAGCCAAUAGCCCUUGCUAACCAUGAAACAUCUGGUCAUGUUGGGGCCAGGAAGAAAGUUUAAGAACUGGACACGCACUGAGGAAGGUACAAGCUGAAAUAUGUCCGUGCAGUGUAUUAAGACAUUUUGUUACUAUGAAUUUAAGAAAAUAAACACAAACUGCAAAUCA